rnacentral:tRNA from 1 species
GAGGGUACAGCUCAGUGGUAGAGUACAUGCCUAGCAUGCACGAGGUCUUGGGUUCAAUCCCCAGUACCUCCA